rnacentral:rRNA from 1 species
UGGGGAAUUUUGGACAAUGGGCGAAAGCCUGAUCCAGCAAUGCCGCGUGUGUGAAGAAGGCCUUCGGGUUGUAAAGCACUUUUGUCCGGAAAGAAAUCCUUGGCUCUAAUACAGUCGGGGGAUGACGGUACCGGAAGAAUAAGCACCGGCUAACUACGUGCCAGCAGCCGCGGUAAUACGUAGGGUGCAAGCGUUAAUCGGAAUUACUGGGCGUAAAGCGUGCGCAGGCGGUUUGCUAAGACCGAUGUGAAAUCCCCGGGCUCAACCUGGGAACUGCAUUGGUGACUGGCAGGCUAGAGUAUGGCAGAGGGGGGUAGAAUUCCACGUGUAGCAGUGAAAUGCGUAGAGAUGUGGAGGAAUACCGAUGGCGAAGGCAGCCCCCUGGGCCAAUACUGACGCUCAUGCACGAAAGCGUGGGGAGCAAAACAGGAUUAGAUACCCUGGUAGUCCACGCCCUAAACGAUGUCAACUAGUUGUUGGGGAUUCAUUUCCUUAGUAACGUAGCUAACGCGUGAAGUUGACCGCCUGGGGAGUACGGUCGCAAGAUUAAAACUUAAAUGAAUUGACGGGGUCAUAGCGUUUCCU